CUGCUCAGAUUGAACGCUGGCGGCAGGCCUAACACAUGCAAGUCGAGCGGUAGCACAGAGAGCUUGCUCUCGGGUGACGAGCGGCGGACGGGUGAGUAAUGUCUGGGAAACUGCCUGAUGGAGGGGGAUAACUACUGGAAACGGUAGCUAAUACCGCAUAACGUCGCAAGACCAAAGUGGGGGACCUUCGGGCCUCAUGCCAUCAGAUGUGCCCAGAUGGGAUUAGCUAGUAGGUGGGGUAACGGCUCACCUAGGCGACGAUCCCUAGCUGGUCUGAGAGGAUGACCAGCCACACUGGAACUGAGACACGGUCCAGACUCCUACGGGAGGCAGCAGUGGGGAAUAUUGCACAAUGGGCGCAAGCCUGAUGCAGCCAUGCCGCGUGUGUGAAGAAGGCCUUCGGGUUGUAAAGCACUUUCAGCGGGGAGGAAGGCGUUAAGGUUAAUAACCUUGGCGAUUGACGUUACCCGCAGAAGAAGCACCGGCUAACUCCGUGCCAGCAGCCGCGGUAAUACGGAGGGUGCAAGCGUUAAUCGGAAUUACUGGGCGUAAAGCGCACGCAGGCGGUCUGUCAAGUCGGAUGUGAAAUCCCCGGGCUCAACCUGGGAACUGCAUUCGAAACUGGCAGGCUAGAGUCUUGUAGAGGGGGGUAGAAUUCCAGGUGUAGCGGUGAAAUGCGUAGAGAUCUGGAGGAAUACCGGUGGCGAAGGCGGCCCCCUGGACAAAGACUGACGCUCAGGUGCGAAAGCGUGGGGAGCAAACAGGAUUAGAUACCCUGGUAGUCCACGCCGUAAACGAUGUCGAUUUGGAGGUUGUGCCCUUGAGGCGUGGCUUCCGGAGCUAACGCGCUAAAUCGACCGCCUGGGGAGUACGGCCGCAAGGUUAAAACUCAAG
rnacentral:rRNA from 1 species